CCUACGGGAGGCAGCAGUGGGGAAUAUUGGUCAAUGGGCGAAACCCUGAUGCAGCGAAGCCGCGUGAGUGAAGAAGUCUCUCGGUAUGUUAAGCUCUAUCAGCAGGGAAGAAGAAAGACGGUACCUUACUAAGAAGCACCGGCGAACUACGUACCAGCAGGCGCGGUAAUUCGGAGGCGGCAAGCGUUAUCCGGAGUUACUGGGUGUAAAGGGAGCGUAGACGGCUGUGCAAGUCUGAAGUGAAAGCCUAGGGGUCAACCCUGGGACUGCGUUGGAAACUGUGGAGCUAGAGUGCUGGAGAGGUAAGUGGAAUUCGUAGUGUAGCGGUGAAAUGCGUAGAGAUUAGGCAGAACACCGGUGGCGAAGGCAGCUUACUGGACAGUGACUGACGUUGAGGCUCGAAAGCGUGGGGAGCAAACAGGAUUAGAUACCCGUGUAGUC
rnacentral:rRNA from 1 species